ACCGGGGGAACUGAAACAUCUAAGUACCCCGAGGAAAAGAAAUCAACCGAGAUUCCCCCAGUAGCGGCGAGCGAACGGGGAGCAGCCCAGAGCCUGAAUCAGUGUGUGUGUUAGUGGAAGCGUCUGGAAAGGCGCGCGAUACAGGGUGACAGCCCCGUACACAAAAAUGCACAUGCUGUGAGCUCGAUGAGUAGGGCGGGACACGUGGUAUCCUGUCUGAAUAUGGGGGGACCAUCCUCCAAGGCUAAAUACUCCUGACUGACCGAUAGUGAACCAGUACCGUGAGGGAAAGGCGAAAAGAACCCCGGCGAGGGGAGUGAAAAAGAACCUGAAACCGUGUACGUACAAGCAGUGGGAGCCUCUUUUAUGGGGUGACUGCGUACCUUUUGUAUAAUGGGUCAGCGACUUAUAUUCUGUAGCAAGGUUAACCGAAUAGGGGAGCCGAAGGGAAACCGAGUCUUAACUGGGCGUUAAGUUGCAGGGUAUAGACCCGAAACCCGGUGAUCUAGCCAUGGGCAGGUUGAAGGUUGGGUAACACUAACUGGAGGACCGAACCGACUAAUGUUGAAAAAUUAGCGGAUGACUUGUGGCUGGGGGUGAAAGGCCAAUCAAACCGGGAGAUAGCUGGUUCUCCCCGAAAGCUAUUUAGGUAGCGCCUCGUGAAUUCAUCUCCGGGGGUAGAGCACUGUUUCGGCAAGGGGGUCAUCCCGACUUACCAACCCGAUGCAAACUGCGAAUACCGGAGAAUGUUAUCACGGGAGACACACGGCGGGUGCUAACGUCCGUCGUGAAGAGGGAAACAACCCAGACCGCCAGCUAAGGUCCCAAAGUCAUGGUUAAGUGGGAAACGAUGUGGGAAGGCCCAGACAGCCAGGAUGUUGGCUUAGAAGCAGCCAUCAUUUAAAGAAAGCGUAAUAGCUCACUGGUCGAGUCGGCCUGCGCGGAAGAUGUAACGGGGCUAAACCAUGCACCGAAGCUGCGGCAGCGACGCUUAUGCGUUGUUGGGUAGGGGAGCGUUCUGUAAGCCUGUGAAGGUGUCCUGUGAGGGUUGCUGGAGGUAUCAGAAGUGCGAAUGCUGACAUAAGUAACGAUAAAGCGGGUGAAAAGCCCGCUCGCCGGAAGACCAAGGGUUCCUGUCCAACGUUAAUCGGGGCAGGGUGAGUCGACCCCUAAGGCGAGGCCGAAAGGCGUAGUCGAUGGGAAACAGGUUAAUAUUCCUGUACUUGGUGUUACUGCGAAGGGGGGACGGAGAAGGCUAUGUUGGCCGGGCGACGGUUGUCCCGGUUUAAGCGUGUAGGCUGGUUUUCCAGGCAAAUCCGGAAAAUCAAGGCUGAGGCGUGAUGACGAGGCACUACGGUGCUGAAGCAACAAAUGCCCUGCUUCCAGGAAAAGCCUCUAAGCAUCAGGUAACAUCAAAUCGUACCCCAAACCGACACAGGUGGUCAGGUAGAGAAUACCAAGGCGCUUGAGAGAACUCGGGUGAAGGAACUAGGCAAAAUGGUGCCGUAACUUCGGGAGAAGGCACGCUGAUAUGUAGGUGAAGCGACUUGCUCGUGGAGCUGAAAUCAGUCGAAGAUACCAGCUGGCUGCAACUGUUUAUUAAAAACACAGCACUGUGCAAACACGAAAGUGGACGUAUACGGUGUGACGCCUGCCCGGUGCCGGAAGGUUAAUUGAUGGGGUUAGCGGUAACGCGAAGCUCUUGAUCGAAGCCCCGGUAAACGGCGGCCGUAACUAUAACGGUCCUAAGGUAGCGAAAUUCCUUGUCGGGUAAGUUCCGACCUGCACGAAUGGCGUAAUGAUGGCCAGGCUGUCUCCACCCGAGACUCAGUGAAAUUGAACUCGCUGUGAAGAUGCAGUGUACCCGCGGCAAGACGGAAAGACCCCGUGAACCUUUACUAUAGCUUGACACUGAACAUUGAGCCUUGAUGUGUAGGAUAGGUGGGAGGCUUUGAAGUGUGGACGCCAGUCUGCAUGGAGCCGACCUUGAAAUACCACCCUUUAAUGUUUGAUGUUCUAACGUUGGCCCCUGAUCGGGGUUGCGGACAGUGUCUGGUGGGUAGUUUGACUGGGGCGGUCUCCUCCUAAAGAGUAACGGAGGAGCACGAAGGUUGGCUAAUCCUGGUCGGACAUCAGGAGGUUAGUGCAAUGGCAUAAGCCAGCUUGACUGCGAGCGUGACGGCGCGAGCAGGUGCGAAAGCAGGUCAUAGUGAUCCGGUGGUUCUGAAUGGAAGGGCCAUCGCUCAACGGAUAAAAGGUACUCCGG
rnacentral:rRNA from 1 species